rnacentral:rRNA from 1 species
AAUGUCUGGGAAACUGCCCGAUGGAGGGGGAUAACUACUGGAAACGGUAGCUAAUACCGCAUAACGUCGCAAGACCAAAGAGGGGGACCUUAGGGCCUCUUGCCAUCGGAUGUGCCCAGAUGGGAUUAGCUUGUAGGUGAGGUAACGGCUCACCUAGGCGACGAUCCCUAGCUGGUCUGAGAGGAUGACCAGCCACACUGGAACUGAGACACGGUCCAGACUCCUACGGGAGGCAGCAGUGGGGAAUAUUGCACAAUGGGCGCAAGCCUGAUGCAGCCAUGCCGCGUGUAUGAAGAAGGCCUUCGGGUUGUAAAGUACUUUCAGCGGGGAGGAAGGGAGUGAGGUUAAUAACCUUAUUCAUUGACGUUACCCGCAGAAGAAGCACCGGCUAACUCCGUGCCAGCAGCCGCGGUAAUACGGAGGGUGCAAGCGUUAAUCGGAAUUAC